AAGUCGAACGAUGAAGCCCAGCUUGCUGGGUGGAUUAGUGGCGAACGGGUGAGUAACACGUGAGCAACCUGCCCCUGACUCUGGGAUAAGCGCUGGAAACGGCGUCUAAUACUGGAUAUGUCCCGUCACCGCAUGGUGUGCGGGUGGAAAGAUUUUUCGGUUGGGGAUGGGCUCGCGGCCUAUCAGCUUGUUGGUGAGGUAAUGGCUCACCAAGGCGUCGACGGGUAGCCGGCCUGAGAGGGUGACCGGCCACACUGGGACUGAGACACGGCCCAGACUCCUACGGGAGGCAGCAGUGGGGAAUAUUGCACAAUGGGCGAAAGCCUGAUGCAGCAACGCCGCGUGAGGGAUGACGGCCUUCGGGUUGUAAACCUCUUUUAGCAGGGAAGAAGCGAAAGUGACGGUACCUGCAGAAAAAGCACCGGCUAACUACGUGCCAGCAGCCGCGGUAAUACGUAGGGUGCAAGCGUUAUCCGGAAUUAUUGGGCGUAAAGAGCUCGUAGGCGGUCUGUCGCGUCUGCUGUGAAAUCCCGAGGCUCAACCUCGGGCUUGCAGUGGGUACGGGCAGACUAGAGUGCGGUAGGGGAGAUUGGAAUUCCUGGUGUAGCGGUGGAAUGCGCAGAUAUCAGGAGGAACACCGAUGGCGAAGGCAGAUCUCUGGGCCGUAACUGACGCUGAGGAGCGAAAGGGUGGGGAGCAAACAGGCUUAGAUACCCUGGUAGUCCACCCCGUAAACGUUGGGAACUAGUUGUGGGGUCCUUUCCACGGAUUCCGUGACGCAGCUAACGCAUUAAGUUCCCCGCCUGGGGAGUACGGCCGCAAGGCUA
rnacentral:rRNA from 1 species